UUGGCCUGUGUUCCAGGAGAACAUUUAUUUUUGAAAUGUCCGACCGGAAGCUCUCUUUUCACAUCCGGGUAUGUUGACGCAGUUCGCGGUUAAAUGUCUACCUUUGUGAAAUAAGCGAGUUAAAGAGAUGACAGCCAUGACUGAGCUGUCCGAGGAGGCGGUCUCCGUCACGGCGGCUGAAGAUCAAAUUUCUCUCAUAGAAACGUUUAAGAAAACGUUGGACAUUUUACAGGAUGUAGGACUGACAGACAGCAAACUGGAGCUGGAAGAAGGGAACCAGGAUGGAGAGAGAGACGGGCAGCAGGAUGGAGAGAGAGACGGGCAGCAGGGUGGAGAGAGAGACGGGCAGCAGGAUGGAGAGAUGGUCAGUUCACCUGUAGCUGAGUCCACCAGCUCAGAGCAGUGGGUGGUGGGUGCUGAGUGUCGGGCAGUGUGGGUGGAGGACGGGCGGCUGUAUCCGGCGAAGUUGGUAUCUUUGGACGGAGAGCGCUGCAGAGUCCGUUUCCAUGGCUACAACAAUGAGGAGGAAGUGGAACUGAGCACGCUCCAUAGUCCAGAUGUUGCUGUGCAACAGCAGAGACAAAACUCUCAGGUGGUCUGUGUGAAUCAGAACUGGAGAGCUGGUUCUCAGUGUCGGGCCAUGUAUUCAGAGGAUGGUUUGGUGUAUCCGGCCGUGGUUCUGUGGGUCAAAGGUCAGCGCUGCCGCGUUCGCUUCAACGACUACAACAACGAGGAGGAACAGGACAUCAGCAGCCUGCUGAGCCUCGACGAGCUACAUGGACCCAGCAAAGCCACUGCGGCCAAGCUGAGGAGGACGAGUGUGUUGUUCAUCUGAUCUCUGACUCGUUCUGGGUUGGGCUGUCAGAACCACACUGAAUUACACUGCAGGUCAGCAGCAGCUCUGACUGGAAGAGGAGCAGCAGCAGGAGGAGGGAGGACAACCAGGAGGAAGGAGGAGGAGAGAGGAGCAACACUACUCUUCAUCUGAGGUCAAAGAGCAAGGGCAGAAAGUGAUGGGAACAGAGAUACCGACCAAUCACAGCUUCUCUUUCUUCCCUGCAUUUCCUCCUCCUCCUCGGUUGGGCUCUGCGGUAAAACUGACACUAUCAUGUUUAUUGAUCUGAUUAUAAUUGAUGAAAUCUUCUCUGUUGACUUGGCUCCUCUCUCUGAAGGACUCUGUGACCUUCAUCCCUCCUCCUCCUCCUCCUCCUCCUCUCGGCAGCGAUGCCACCUCCAGCAUGUUGAUGCUGUGGUACAUGUGUGGCUUCCACACGGGCAGCUACAUGGCUCAGCAGUUCAAGUCAAGCUCCAAACACUGAGUUUUUCUGCUUGGAAGCCAGAGAGGAUUAUGGGAAGAGACUGAGCUGUGGCGUCCUUCAUUCAGAGUACCAUUUGUGCAGUUUUUGUAUCUUUUGAAAACCUUUUAUUUGUUGUUUGAUGUUUACAGUUUACUGUGUGUUCACAGUUUAAGAUGUUUGUGUUGAGAGGUUCAGGGUUGCUCUGUAAAUCUGAACUCUGCUGUUAGAAAUGAAAUGAAGAAGUAUUUUGUUAUUAAACAGAAAGAUGGAUCCUAAAA